rnacentral:rRNA from 1 species
UACGUAGGCAGCAAGCGUUGUUCGGAGUUACUGGGCGUAAAGGGUGCGUAGGCGGCCCUGUAAGUAUGGUGUGAAAUCUCCCGGCUUAACUGGGAGGGUGCGCUAUAGACUGCGGGGCUCGAGUGUGGGAGAGGAAAGUGGAAUUCCUGGUGUAGCGGUGAAAUGCGUAGAUAUCAGGAGGAACACCGGUGGUGUAAACGGCUUUCUGGACCAUAACUGACGCUGAUGCACGAAAGCUGGGGGAGCAAACAGG